rnacentral:rRNA from 1 species
GACGAACGCUGGCGGCGUGCCUAAUACAUGCAAGUCGAACGCAGUGGGGACGGGUGAGUAACACGUGGGUAACCUCCCAUCAGAGGGGAUAACACUUGGAAACAGGUGCUAAACCGAUACUGAUGGAUGGACCCGCGGUGCAUUAGCUAGUUGGUGAGGUAACGGCUCCCCAAGGCCACGAUGCAUAGCCGACCGUGGAGGGUGCUCUGCAACACUGUGACUGAGACCCGGCCCCGACUCCUACGGGAGGCAGCAGUAGGAAAUCUUCUGCAAUGGACGAAAGUCUGACCGAGCAACGCCGCGUGAGGGAAGAAGGUUUUCGGAUCGUAACACUCUGUUGUUAGAGAAGCGGUAUCUAACCAGAAAGCCACGGCUAACUACGGGCCAGCAGCCGCGGUAAUAC